GACUUCCUACGGGGCGCAGCAGUGAGGAAUAUUGGUCAAUGGGCGCGAGCCUGAACCAGCCAAGUAGCGUGAAGGAUGACUGCCCUACGGGUUGUAAACUUCUUUUAUAAAGGAAUAAAGUGAGGCACGUGUGCCUUUUUGUAUGUACUUUAUGAAUAAGGAUCGGCUAACUCCGUGCCAGCAGCCGCGGUAAUACGGAGGAGCCGAGCGUUAUCCGGAUUUAUUGGGUUUAAAGGGAGCGUAGAUGGGUUGUUAAGCCAGUUGUGAUAGUUGGCGGCUCAACCGUAAAAUUGCAAGUGACACUG
rnacentral:rRNA from 1 species